UCCGUGACACGGCCGUGCUAUUGCCGACUACCGCCCAUAAUAGCACGCAGCCUCAUACCUGGGUAACAGGGUAGUCAAACCAACCGAAUCUUUUCAUAUAAAAGCAUUCUUAGUACAACAUGCUGGUCAGUACCCAAAUACAGAGCUUCUAUGUAGUUUAUGUACACAAAAGUAUACUUGCUUUACCCCAAAAGAAAGAAGCCCUGAUACCAAAUUAACGUGUCUCUGGCAGCUAUCAGUGGUAAGGAUCUGAAAGAAAAAGUAAAUGAACGGAUAUGAGCUACACGGCUCAGUAAGUAAUCAUACGUAAUCUUACCGGAUCGAACAUAACGGUAACCAUGUUUAUGCAGGGUUUGAGAAGCUGACAUGCAUAUUUAUCUAAUCAUCAUCAUGGCAUAAUAUGUAUGCAAUUUAAAGGAGAUAGCGGUUAUAGCAAAAUACAACAUUUCAUAAGGAUAUAUUCAAAAACCCGUUGUAAAACAAUGUAUGCUUUGGCCAAGCACGUUCAUAAAUGUCACGG
rnacentral:lncRNA from 1 species